CCCGAGUCCGACGACGAGCCCGACAAGCGCGCCAAGCGCGAGGUUCAAUGUCACGCGUGGGCGCGAUGGGAAGCUUGGCGGCUCGGCCACCUGGCGAACGCUGACUGCCAUGCGCGGCAUCGCGAGCUCCAUCGUCUGCGUCUGCGUGCGCAUGCGCACACCAUCGAGCAGCGCCUUUUCCUUGAUGUAGUUGUUCUUCGCGCGGGUGUAGUUCGCGCUCGUGUUCUUGGCGUUGAGCUGCUUCUGGUUGAUGUCGUCAAGCCGGCGGCGCAACUCGGUCACCGUUGUCUGCGCGGUGUUGAGGUUCUUCUCGAGCGCGCUGCGGAUGAUCAACACCUGCUCUUCGAGCUGCUUCGUGAAGACGU
rnacentral:misc_RNA from 1 species